AGUGAAUAGAUACCCAGGUAGUCCUAGCUGUAAACGGUGCACGUUUGGUGUGGGAGGCAACCCCUCCUGUGCCGAAAGCUAAACGCGAUAAGCGUGCCGCCUGGGUAGUACGGUCGCAAGACUAAAACUACAAAGAAAUUGACGGGGGCCCGGCACAAGCGGUGGAGUAUGUGGCUUAAAUUCGAUGCAACGCGAAGAACCUUACCAGGGCGUUGACAUGUAUUGUAACCCCGGUCGAAAGCCGGGCAGCGUAGAAAUACGCGCUUUACACAGGUGCUGCAUGGCUGUCGUCAGCUCGUGUCGUGAGAUGUUGGGUUAAGUCCCGCAACGAGCGCAACCCCGUAUGGUUUGUUGCCACUGGUUCAUUCCAAGCACUCAAAUCAGACUGCCCAGAUUAACCUGGGGAGGAAGGUGGGGUAUGACGUCAAGUCCGUAUGGCCCUUACGGUCCUGGGCUGCACACGUACUACAAUGUCCAGUACAGAGUGAACCUAAGGCCGCAAGGCGGUAAGAAAUCNCCAAAACCUGGGGCUCAGUUCAGAUUGCA
rnacentral:rRNA from 1 species